ACAGUGGUGGUUCAGUGGUAGAAUUCUUGUUUUGUAUAGGGGGGAUUCAGGUUCAAUUCCUAACCAAUGCA
rnacentral:tRNA from 1 species